rnacentral:rRNA from 1 species
AGAGUUUGAUCAUGGCUCAGAACGAACGCUGGCGGCGUGGAUAAGACAUGCAAGUCGAACGCUAAUCACAUUGCAGCAAUGUAGUGUGGUUGGAGUGGCGCAAGGGUGCGUAACACGUGGGUAAUUUGCCGUGAAGACUGGGAUAACUUGCUGAAAGGCGAGCUAAUACCGGAUGUGGUCACUGGGAGGCAUCUUUUGGUGACUGAAGUUGGGGACCGUAAGGCCUGACACUUCACGAUAAGCCCGCGGCCUAUCAGCUAGUUGGUGAGGUAACGGCUCACCAAGGCAAAGACGGGUAGCUGGUCUGAGAGGACGACCAGCCACACUGGAACUGAGACACGGUCCAGACACCUACGGGUGGCAGCAGUCGAGAAUUUUUCUCAAUGGGCGAAAGCCUGAAGGAGCGACGCCGCGUGGGGGAUGAAUGGCUUCGGCCCGUAAACCCCUGUCAUUUGCGAACAAUGCGCAUUAUUUAAAAGAUGAUGCGUUGAUAGUAGCGAAAGAGGAAGGGACGGCUAACUCUGUGCCAGCAGCCGCGGUAAUACAGAGGUCCCGAGCGUUGUUCGGAUUCACUGGGCGUAAAGGGUGCGUAGGUGGUGAGGUAAGUCGGAUGUGAAAUCUCCAAGCUCAACUUGGAAAUGGCAUUGGAAACUACCUCGCUGGAGGUUUGGAGGGGGGACUGGAAUUCUCGGUGUAGCAGUGAAAUGCGUAGAUAUCGAGAGGAACACCAGUGGCGAAGGCGAGUCCCUGGACAACACCUGACACUGAGGCACGAAAGCUAGGGGAGCAAACAGGAUUAGAUACCCUAGUAGUCC